GGAGGGUCUGUGGCUUAAUGGUAGAGCAUCUGCUUGGUAUGCAGAAAGUCCUACAUUCAAUUCCUGGCAUCUCUA
rnacentral:tRNA from 1 species